AUAAGCCUCCUUGAGCUCACCCUUCCCAUUGUUUUUUGGUGAUUCAACAUGGCAGUAAUGGCAAAGAUUGUUGUGUUGGUUCUCAUCGCUAGUUUCAGUAAUGUCUUCUGUCUUCCAAAGAGGUAUGUCAAAGAAAACUAUGAGGUUGAUGUUUCAACAACACCAAAUCCCAACAACCAGACCCAAACUGAGGCUCAGGGUGAUGCAAGUGAAGAUGUCCAAGCAGGCACUCCAGCACCUAAUCCCCACAAUCAGACUGCUACUGCACAACCUGAUGUUACUGAUGGGGCAAGUGAAGAUGAUGUGGUAACUGCAACCUCAAGUCCCUGAAACCAGACAACACUUGCUGCCCAAACUGGAGAUGCUGAAACCGAUGGGGCGAGUGCAGAUGAUGUGGUAACUGCAACCCCAAAUCCCCAAAAUCAGACAACGUCAUCUGCCACAGGUGGAGUAACUGGUAAGGGAGAUGAGUCACCAGAUGGACCAAGUGACGAUGCUGAAGUUGGCACUACAACACAGAAUGCCCAAAACCAGACCACUUCAGCCCCCACUGUAGGAACUGAUGGUCCAAGUGAGGAUGCUGUGUUAACCACUGUACUGAAUCUGCAAAAUGGGACCACCUCUGCCCAAGAUGGAACCACCAGUACUGAGUCACCAUAUGGACCAAGUGACUAUGCUGAAGUUGGUACUACAACACAGAAUGCCCAAAACCAGACCACUUCAGCCCCCACUGUAGGAACUGAUGGUCCAAGUGAGGAUGCUGUGUUAACCACUGUACUGAAUCAGUAAAUUACUGUACUGAAUCACAAAAUGGGACUACCUCUGCCCAAGAUGGAACCACCAGUACCGACUCCCAUGAUGAAUCCUGAAGUGACCGUUCAGAAUGCUAGUGCAAAAUGCAACUUCAGUCAUCCUGGGUCAUUUUCUGCACUUGGGCUUUCUCCAUCUUGAAUUCAAUAAAGGCCCUUUUCUCUUAUCUA